rnacentral:rRNA from 1 species
UACGAGGGGGGCGAGCGUUGUUCGGAAUUAUUGGGCGUAAAGGGCGCGUAGGCGGUCGGAUAAGUCUUGUGUGAAAUCUUCGGGCUCAACUCGAAGUCUGCACAGGAAACUAUCUGGCUUGAGUGUGGGAGAGGUGAGUGGAAUUCCUGGUGUAGCGGUGAAAUGCGUAGAUAUCAAGAGGAACACCAGUGGCGAAGGCGAGUCCCUGGACAACACCUGACACUGAGGCACGAAAGCUAGGGGAGCAAACAGG